AGGAAAAAAAAACCAAAGAAAAAAAAAGAAGAGAGAAUCGGCCAUGGAGGAGUAAUUUUUACUCCUUGAAAUUUCAUCCCAAAAAUUAUUUUCUCCUAGUAUUCCCACUAAUUCAAGGGUCCUCUAUAACAUGGUGGAGUUAUUUUGGAAGAUUGGAGGCUUGUUUCAUUGAUUUGGGAGUGAAGAAGUUAGAAGAAAAAAGAUUUUGGAGGAAACGGGAAUUGAAUUUGGACAACCGUAAAAGGUCGAUAAGAUGUAGAUAAUCGUUUUGAUGAGCCGCCAGCUUAAGACUUCCCUCUUGCUAUCUUGGAGAGUUCCGUUGUUCUAGAGCCCAGAUUUGGUAUAGAUCUUUUCUGAUCUAAAUAUAUGAAUAUGUUGACUAAGGGUAUGACAGGGCCCUGUCCCGUCAUAUUGUACUGUUGAAACUCUUAGAGGUCUGUCGACAUGUGUGUGGGUCAUAUUCAAACAUGAUCAAUUGGGUGUGUAAUAUCAGUAUGCGAAUACUAUUUUUUUUACAGUAGCCUCGUCGGCUUACGGAUAUUAUCAUGAUUGUGGUAGCAGCCUUGUUGGCUUGCAUUUAUAUGAAUAUUUAUGUGA